GACUGGGAAAAAAGGACGUGGAAUUGGGCCCAUUCUCUUUUCAGAGGACUGAAAUUUAAACCCCUACUCUGCCUUUCCAGACCUUGGUGGGCAAGAACAUAUAGUUCUGAUGUCUGAGGGACUCACAUUUGUUGCUUUGUGGUGGUGGGAACUGAAGUUAGGACCUAACGCAUUCUACCACCGAGUUUAUAUUCCCAAGCCAUCUUUUCCUUCCAGAGGAAGACCUUGAUCUUCCUGCCUCUGCCCAUUGACUGAGAUCACAGGCGUCGUUACCUACAAAUGUCCCCUAGUGAGACAUCAUGUAGAAUUCUUCGCAAUACUGGAGACUGAAUCCAUGGUCUUGUGUGUACCAGACAAGCACGCUGCCCACCGGACUACAUCUCCUGCCCAGAAACUCAAACUUUAGCAGGGUUUCUCUGUAUUACUUUGGAGCCUGUCCUGACACUCUGUAGACCAGGCUGGCCUCAACUCACAGAGAUCCAUCUGCCUUAGCCUCUGGUGUGCUGGGAUUAAAGGCUGCACCAUCAAUGCUCCGCCAAAAGCUAACUUAAAAAAGUUAAUAUUUACUAAGCUUCUGGAGUGAGUGUGUGUGUGUGUGUGUGUGUGUGUGUGUGUGUGUGUGUGUGUAUGUGUGUGCAGCCUAGGCUAAUCUUCCUUUCCACCCUCCUGUCAUAGUUUCCCAAGCACUGAGAUGACAUGAAUGGGCCACUAUGCUUUGCUGUGUGCAUCAGACUUUCCUGUAGAUUGGGUGUGGUGGACACACAUGUAAUCCUGGUACUUGGGAGGUGAAGCUCAAGGACGGGGAUUCAAAGUCGGCUGAAUAGUGAGUUUGAGGCCAGCCAGAGUUACAGAAAUGAGAUGACUUCAAAAGCAAAACGAAACAAAACACAUUGAAAAUGUGUCCUAAAUGACUCAGUUGUUUAAUCCUCAUGUUAAUUCCAUCAAAUAAACUCCUAGUACAGGAAAUGAAACUUAGGCAUAGAAAAGUAAAUGGCCCAUACUGUGCAGAGAUACAGCUAGGAGGGUAUAGUCAUUCUGGUUUGAGGCUAAGUAAAUAAGAAAAGUCUUGUGUCACAAUACUGGCAUUAAAUUAAAAACCGAGGUGAGAAAAUUGCCUUAAGUGGAGAGGAGUGAGUCAUUUGAGCACAGAUGCAAGCGUCAAGAGGGAGCCAGCCAUGGACAAAUAUUGAGGAAGAACAUUCCAGGCAGAGUGGCAGAUGCAAAGGCCCUAAGGUAGGAGCAAAUAUGGCAAAAAAAAAAAAAAAGCUUUGAACAAGAGCAGGGAGAGGAGAGGGAACCUGGUAAGGUAAGUGUUGGGCUAGAAACCUUUGCGGGCAGCAGACUGGACCUUACUGAAAGGCAUGGGCAGUGGGGGUGCCUGAGUCUCCGGCUCAGAGAGCAGGUCACUUCCUGGAGCCAGGAUGGUGGGAUGAUGGACAGAAGGGAGAACACACCUGGGGCUCUGGUUUCCCUCUGGCCUGCUUUGGCCCUGGGCAAACAAAGGCUUUUUCUCUCACGCCUGGCACGGCUGACAGCCUACUUGCUACAUUCAUUGCUUGCCCCGAGUUCUAGCCACUCCCAGACUGCCUCCCCCACCCUCUGCCAUUUGCUUUCUUCAGAUUUUCUGUCCUGCUGCCACCCCCUGUCCAGACCUCGCACCUGUGUCUGCCGUGUUGCCCUGGUAGCUUCGGCUGCUGUAGGUGACCAGUUGCAGCUGCCGGUUGAGUCUAUCCAGACCCGGGCUGGCAAGGGUGAGAUCUGGCUGUCCCUCUCCGGUAAGAGUCACUCCUGUCACUUCCCCUGCCACAUCCCAGGUGCCCAGGGAAGCACUCAGGUUCACCUGGCAGAGGGUGAGGGACAGCAGGGUUAGACCCCUACCCAGGGACAGCAGCAGGGUUAGACCCCUACCUGACCCCGCAGAGGGUGAGGGACAGCAGCAGGGUUAGACCCCUACCCAGGCACAGCAGCAGGGUUAGACCCCUACCCCACACCUUGCCCUUUUGACCCUUGAAUCCCUCUGGGUGGCUCUGUCACCCUGCCGGCAUCUGCUGUUCCUCUCACCUGAUACACCUCCUGCACAGAAGCUUCCUGCAGACUCAGCCCUGGGAGGAAGAAUGGAGAGCCAGGAUGAAGACAGCCCUGAGUCUUCCUCAUUUUCUCCCCCUUCCCAUCAUGCACUGCACAGAACCUCAUGCCCAUCUCUCCUGUGGUGACCCAGUACAACACAUCCUGGAGGGAAUGCUGCUGCUGCUUCUUCUUCUUCUUUUUUUUUUUCUGAGACAGGGUGGGACAGAAACAUCUGGCUGUCCUGGAGCUGGCUCUGUAGACCAGGCUGGCCUCGAACUCACACAGAUCCACCUGCCUCUGCCUCUGGAGUGCUGGGAUUAAAGGCACAUGCUCUCCACGGCACACCUUUGCUUUUAACUCCUUUCCAUCAAAGAGACAUUUCUUCCACGGCUUCUCCUGCCUAUCCUGCUAGCCCUUGUUCAGCUGUCAGAGCCGGGAUUCUUCACAAACUUGCCAGGUUUUCUGCCAUUCCGGACAACCCUGGAGUCCCUCUGUCCUCCCCUCCCACCUCCUAAAUUCCCUCAUCAGAGAUGCUCAUCUUCCAAUCCACGCUCCCCUCGCGCUUCCCCAUCCAGCCUCUAGCCUGGCUCACCUGCUAUGACCUUCCUUCCCUACCUGGCACCAAGAUGCUCCUGAGGGGCUGAACCUCCACUCCCUGCAGGGGGUACUGUAAAGGGGAGUUGGCAGGGGCUAUGAGCAGCUGGUCAGCCAGGGACUGGCUCCUGCAAGGGAGGGAAGGACACAGGGGUCAGGAGAGCUCUCUCUUCCCAUGGGUCACAGACUGGCCCCCCAAGACUUUCUGACCCCCGCUCAGCCGCUUCCACAAGACUUUCUGACUGGUACCUUGCAAGGAAGGCCUGGUAUUCCUGCUCCCUGGCGACCAAGACAGCCCUCAGCUCCUCAGUGUCGAAGGCUUUAGUGAGGUCGACAGCUCGAACCUGUGUCUGGAACGGGAAGGGAAAGCUUCCUCCCCUGGACUCACAACUGCAAUUGUUCUGAGUCAGUAGCCUGAAGAGAGGAGACAGGGUCUUCAGAGUUCAGCUACCCAGCUUGGAUUCCUCGACUCUUCCCAUCUGGCGUCUUUCCCCUUAAAAUGCUGCUCUUCAAAUAGCCCCCAAGAGGGGACCAGAGACAAGACAGCUCAUCCCUUGUAUCUGGGCUUUACAGAGGUGUGGAGUCAGUUACUGGGGUGUCUGCUUAGCCGCCACUCAGGAACCCUUCUAAGAAGCAGGCAGCCUCCCGGGGCUCUCCUGCCUGCUCACCCUCCCACACCCCAGUGGCGGUGACAAGGUUUUCAGUAGGAUAGAUUUGCCGCUGCCGCUGCCCGUCUCCCACCGCAUUCCCAGUUUUAGCUCCGGUAAACCUCUCCGCCUCCUGCUUCACUGCCUCCACCAGUCAGCGGGAGAGCAGCAUCCAAGCCCAGCACUGGAAGAAACAAAAGCUCCCAGGCCACCCCCUCCAGCACGCUCUGCUCUGUCGCCAGCCACCUCGCCACCGUCAGCACUCACCCCACCACUUGAUCCUUGAUCUUGACCGGGAUGUGCGCGUAGCGGGGCUCAGGGGCAAGGUCUGGAAGAUCGAGCCUCGGGGAACCUUGUAGGGGUGACCACAGCGCCAGCGGGUUCGGGAGACGGGGUGCGUCUCGGGUGCUGACAUACAGGAGCCCCAGCGAGGCGCAGGCGAGCAGCAGGACUAGCGCAUAGAGGGCCCGGCGGCCCAGCCGCAUCCUGAAAUGGGGGGAAGAUAAGAGGUGACCGGGGGCUGAAGGAAGGUGACGCUCGGGGCUCACGACUCCUCUGCCUUGGAGGGUAGCGCAGGUGUCCGAGGCCACCCAUCUCCGUUCCGCACAGCGCGCAUCCCUUCCCUCAUGGCCCGCGCUGGGGGCUCGAGGCCUCCUUUCUUCCGCCUCUCAGUCACAUCGGAGUUUCCGCACACACCCGAGGCCCCGGCAUUGUGACACGCCACACCUUGGGCGCCUGGCCGGGGUGCCGCGGAGGGGGCCUGUCAGGGAAAGCACAGUGCCUGCGGGUGCCCGACCGAGGUGACCCUCGGGUGGCCUCGGUGCGCCCCGGGGACGACGCGCGGGGCGGGGUGUGCCAGCGCACUGACCUGUCUAACGCUCUAAGGCCGCGGCAAGAUCGCGGUCCGGGCGACGCCCGGCUCUCGGCCCCGGCCGGGGGGUCCUCAUGAGGCCGGAGACGGCCUGAUGCGGGAGCUGGGCGGGAGCCUGACAGUGCGGGGGAUCCGGCUCCUCCUGCCUGCCUGCGGACUCCGGGGCUUUGUAGAGCGCGGCGUAGGGGGGUGGCUCUGGACGUUUCCCGCCUGGGAGAACUGAAUGGAAGAUCCGCCGCGCCCCAGGCCCCGCAACAAAGCUGAGGCGCCCUGGCACCGAGACGCCCUCGCAGGCAGCGGAGGGCUCAGGCCCUCGCCCGGCUCGCACACACGCCGCAGCAGCGCCGCUCCCUGGAUGGAUGCGCCAGAGGCUCCGGCUCUGCGCGGGGAAGGCGGGCGCCGGCGCCUUCUGGCGGGCGCAGAGGAGAUUGCUCAGGCGAGCAGCUGAGCUGGUCUCUCUGGCCCGCAUCCCUUCGCCCCCCGACCGCCGCGGUGUCUCGGUAGCCGGUCCCUGUCCCCGCCAUUUCCCUAUUCGCUCAGCGGGUAGCCUAGCAAAGGCAAGUGGGUGCAGGAGGCAGGGCGGUGUGUGGUCUCACCUCAGUUCAGGGAAAACAGGAGAGGGUAGGAUGGGAUUAAGCCCCGGAGGUAAACACUGCCUAAAUUAACAAAGACGGUCACCUCCCUCCGCCCCUCGUCUCCGAAUUCCCAGUAGUCAAAUGAGGUGGUAAGCUGUUACCGAGUGGCCUACUUCCUCUAACUGCUUCUCGGCACAGACUUGAAAAGGAACCGCAGAAAAUGGUCAGGUGGGAAGUGGUUCUUUUAAACAAGCCAUAAAUGGCUUGAUUACUGAAACUGACCAGGCUAAGUCCUAUGGUUCACAUAAAGGCAAAAUUCAACAGAAAGACAGGUAGAACGUGAUGAAAAAUGUGUAUGGAGGGAAAGGUGGAGAUUAUGAACGAACUUCGUGUGUCCGCUGGGGAAGAAAGGGAAAUUCCACCCUUUUUAAAAUCAAAAUUUCCAGAUCAAAUAUUAAAAUUACAAAAAUUUUAAAAUAAAUCAAGGACUUUUUUGUUUACGGUUGGAAGACCUCCUUAAGACAUAAAGGGAAAUACUAAUAAACCUGCCUAUAUAAAAAUA